UACAGAGGGGGCAAGCGUUGUUCGGAAUUACUGGGCGUAAAGGGCGCGUAGGCGGCCCUCUAAGUCGGACGUGAAAUCCCCGGGCUCAACCCGGGAACUGCGUCCGAUACUGGAGGGCUUGAAUCCGGGAGAGGGAUGCGGAAUUCCAGGUGUAGCGGUGAAAUGCGUAGAUAUCUGGAGGAACACCGGUGGCGAAGGCGGCAUCCUGGACCGGCAUUGACGCUGACGGCGCGAAAGCCAGGGGAGCAAAGCGGG
rnacentral:rRNA from 1 species